rnacentral:tRNA from 1 species
GUCUAGUGUGGCAUAAUGGUUUGAGUGCUAGACUACGACUCUGGAGGCUAGGGUUCUAUUCCCAGCUCAGCCA